GCGGGCGUGGUGAAAUUGGUAUACACACCAGGUUUAGGUUCUGGAGAUUAAGAGUCUUUGCGGGUUCAAGUCCUGCCGCCCGUA
rnacentral:tRNA from 1 species